CGGACAUGUGUUUAGUACGCUCAUGGAACACUUGAUUUGCUGCAAUCUGAAGUGCAGAUUGAUUAUCACAGUUAGGGAUGGCAAAAAAACCCGCGCUUGCGGAUAUCCGCGGAUAAAAUCUACGACGGAUAGUUGAUAACCGCGAAUAUUUACUACCCGAAACCUGUGGAUAGCGGGUAUUUUAAUACCCACUUAUAAACGGGUCGGGUUCGGGUAUUACACUAUUUGGUCUGCAGAUAUCUGUUACCCGC
rnacentral:lncRNA from 1 species